GACGAACGCUGGCGGCGUGCUUAACACAUGCAAGUCGAACGAUGAAGCUAGAGCUUGCUCUGGUGGAUUAGUGGCGAACGGGUGAGUAACACGUGAGUAACCUGCCCCGAACUCUGGGAUAACUGCGGGAAACUGUAGCUAAUACCGGAUACGACCCUCGGAGGCAUCUCCUGGGGGUGGAAAGAAUUUCGGUCAAGGAUGGACUCGCGGCCUAUCAGCUAGUUGGUGAGGUAAAGGCUCACCAAGGCGACGACGGGUAGCCGGCCUGAGAGGGUGACCGGCCACACUGGGACUGAGACACGGCCCAGACUCCUACGGGAGGCAGCAGUGGGGAAUAUUGCACAAUGGGCGCAAGCCUGAUGCAGCAACGCCGCGUGAGGGAUGACGGCCUUCGGGUUGUAAACCUCUUUUAGCAGGGAAGAAGCGAAAGUGACGGUACCUGCAGAAAAAGCACCGGCUAACUACGUGCCAGCAGCCGCGGUAA
rnacentral:rRNA from 1 species